GUAGUCUCGCACAGAUGCAUAUCAAUAAGCGGAGGAAAAGAAACUAACAAGGAUUCCCCUAGUAACGGCGAGUGGAAGCGGGAAGAGCUCAAAUUUGAAAUCUUAAAGGGUUUCCCUUUACGAAUUGUAGUUUAAAGAAGUGUUUUCUGUUGAGGUUUUGGUAAAAGUUCUUUGGAAUAGGACAUCAUAGAGGGUGAGAAUCCCGUAUUUGACCUUUACUUUCAACUUUGUGAUACACUUUCAAAGAGUCGGAUUGUUUGGGAAUGCAGUCCAAAAUGGGUGGUAAAUUUCAUCUAAAGCUAAAUAUUGGCGAGAGACCGAUAGCGAACAAGUACCGUGAGGGAAAGAUGAAAAGAACUUUGAAAAGAGAGUUAAACAGUACGUGAAAUUGUCAAAAGGGAAGCGUUUGACACCAGUGUUGUUUUUCUGAAAAUCAAUUAAAGAACUGUUUAUGCUAAGCUGUUUAGACUUUAUCAGCUAUACUGUUUAGUUUUGAGCUUUUCUUUAAUGCACUUUUCAGUUAACAAGUCAACAUCAAUUUCUUUUGCUGUAAAAAAGCUUGAGGAAGGUGGCUUGAGAUUCGUCUUAAGUGUUUAUAGCCUCUUGCCUAUGCAGUCGGAGAGAUUGAGGUCUGCAGCGUAGAUCCUUCGGGGCUAAAUGCAUUUGUGCUAAGUUAUAGCAUUUUAUAGACAACUUGUUGACUAUGAUUUGUCUUGUAGCUUACUCGCUUAUGUUAUUUUACCUACGCUUAGGAUGUUGACGCGCGUGUGUGCGU
rnacentral:rRNA from 1 species